rnacentral:rRNA from 1 species
GAUGAACGCUGGCGGCGUGCCUAAUACAUGCAAGUCGAGCGAACGGACGAGAAGCUUGCUUCUCUGAUGUUAGCGGCGGACGGGUGAGUAACACGUGGAUAACCUACCUAUAAGACUGGGAUAACUUCGGGAAACCGUAGCUAAUACCGGAUAAUAUUUUGAACGGCAUGGUUCAAAAGUGAAAGACGGUCUUGCUGUCACUUAUAGAUGGAACCGCGCUGCAUUAGCUAGUUGGUAAGGUAACGGCUUACCAAGGCAACGAUGCAUAGCCGACCUGAGAGGAUGAUCAGCCACACUGGAACUGAGACACGGUCCAGACUCCUACGGGAGGCAGCAGUAGGGAAUCUUCCGCAAUGGGCGAAAGCCUGACGGAGCAACGCCGCGUGAGUGAUGAAGGUCUUCGGAUCGUAAAACUCUGUUAUUAGGGAAGAACAUAUGUGUAAGUAACUGUGCACAUCUUGACGUUACCUAAUCAGAAAGCCACGGCUAACUACGUG